CCUACGGGAGGCUGCAGUGAGGAAUAUUGGUCAAUGGGCGCGAGCCUGAACCAGCCAAGUAGCGUGAAGGAUGACUGCCCUACGGGUUGUAAACUUCUUUUAUAAAGGAAUAAAGUGAGGCACGUGUGCCUUUUUGUAUGUACUUUAUGAAUAAGGAUAGGCUAACUCCGUGCCAGCAGCCGCGGUAAUACGGAGGAUCCGAGCGUUAUCCGGAUUUAUUGGGUUUAAAGGGAGCGUAGAUGGGUUGUUAAGUCAGUUGUGAAAGUUUGCGGCUCAACCGUAAAAUUGCAAUUGAUACUGGCAGUCUUGAGUACAGUUGAGGUAGGCGGAAUUCGUGGUGUAGCGGUGAAAUGCUUAGAUCUCACGAAGAACUCCGAUUGCGACGGCAGCCUACUAAACUGCCACUGACAUUGAUGCUCGAAAGUGUGGGUAUCAAACAGGAUUCGAUACCCGAGUAGUC
rnacentral:rRNA from 1 species